ensembl:misc_RNA 7SK 7SK RNA
GGAUGUGAGGGUAAUCUGGCUGCAACAUCUGUCACCCCAUUGAUCACCAGGGUUGAUUUGGCUGUUGUGGCUGGCUAGGAGGGUGUUCCCUUCCUCUGUCACCUCUCCAUGUGCCUUCCUUUCAAAGCUGUGCACUGGGACAAAGAGUAUGGCCUUCCCCAAUAGAGGAGAACCAUUCUUUGGUUGAGGGGGUUAUGAGUAGCUGUGCUCCCCUGCUAGAAUCUCCAAAUAAGUUCUCAAGUUUUUGAGUUCUGUGGAGUCUGGAUCUUUAAACAUUAGAGGAAUUCUAAUGUUCUGUGACUGACAAAUGACUAA